CAUAGUUCAAAAAGUUAAGCUCUCUCUGUUUAUAUUUUCUCUUGUGUAAACUCAAAAUAAUUACAUAUUUUGUGAUGGAUUAUAUUGUAGGAAAUAUAGCUGAUUUAAUAACGUUGAUGAUAAAAUUAAAGUCAGGAGAAUUUCAGUCAAACUAAACGAAAAGAAACAAGGUAAGGGUAGAAAGUUGGAUAUCAAACAACAAGUAAACCAGAGAGGAAACACUAAUCUGAAGAAAAAAAUCUUUAUCAACUAGUAAAAAUAAUAUGAAUUAACACGAUAAUGAAAUGAGUAGCUCGGAAUCUAUUUUGAAAACAAAAGGGGAACAAAAAACGCAAAGAAAAAAAUAGUAUGAGUGAUAAUCAACAAGGAGAGAAUGUAGAUAAUAUUUCAUCAAUAAUUUAUAAUAAAAUGAAAAAUAAAAAAAAGUAUCAAAUGAUGGAUUGCAGCACGUUGAUGGUGAAAAAGAACAAUUAAAUAAGGAUAAGGAUACUACAGAACCAAGUCCAAAAAAAAUAAGGUAAAGAAAAGUCUGAAAGUAAUGAAGGCAAAGAAAGAUAAAUUAUUAACAAACAGUGUUGUAAAUAGUAUAGUUGAUAGUGAAAUGUUUCUAUAAAUUUUAAAAAAGAAAAAUAUCAAAAGUGUUUUAAAAAUAUAAAUAUGGACCAAUUGAGGAAACAUUAAGGUUUAAAGGUAACCUGUUGUGAUCCAAAAAUACCCAAAAAGUGGCUGCCAUCAAAAAAGAAUUUCAUCCUGAUCUAAAGAGUGUGUAUCUAUCUUUUGUUUUAUAAGAUUUGUCAAACAAGAAGAUGCUCAUAAUGCGGUACAACAAAAUUGUAAUGUUUUCAAAGAAAAGUAUUUGUAUGUUCGUUGGUGUGGAUCUACUACAAAAAAUAAUGAGUGCUCUGGCAAUAUUUGUUGGAAAUUUGAAUUUCUAUUUAAGGAGCUGAAGAAGAGCAGUUAUGGGAACCUUGUAGUUUGAUAGAAUCAGCUGUUAGAAUUGCCAGAGACCCUCGUACCAGUAUGGGAAAAGGAUUAAGCUAUGUCAAUUUCAAAGAUGCCAUACAAUUAGAUCUCCAAAUGGAAAAUGUGAACCUUGUGAUCGGGAAUUGAGAAUCAAAAGCGAGUCGUAUAACUGGUUGCGGAUAUGACAGGCGCUACAAAAACACUUUCAGUAAAAAUUAAACAAGAAAAUGUGUAAUUGUAGGAAUCUCCAUGAGAAAAUGCAUGAUACCAAUUGU